rnacentral:rRNA from 1 species
GAUGAACGCUGACCGAAUGCUUAACACAUGCAAGUCAACUGUGGCGGACGGGUGAGUAACGCGUAAAGAACUUGCCUCACGGAUAGGGACAACAUUUGGAAACGAAUGCUAAUACCUGAUACUGUGAGAGAGCUUUGCGUCCCAUGAGCUAGUGGGAGAGGUAACGGCUCACCAAGGCGAUGAUGGGUAGCCGGCCGGGGAGGGGGAUCGGCCACAAGGGGACUGAGACACGGCCCUUACUCCUACGGGGGGCAGCAGUGGGGAAUAUUGGACAAAGGACCAAAGUCUGAUCAAGCAAUUCUGUGUGCACGAUGAGGUUUUCGGAAUGUAAAGUGCUUUCAGUUGGGAAGCAGUACCAACAGAAGAAGUGACGGCUAAAUACGUGCCAGCAGCCGCGGUAAUAC